rnacentral:rRNA from 1 species
GGGUUGUGAGGUUAAGCGACUAAGCGUACACGGUGGAUGCCCUGGCAGUCAGAGGCGAUGAAGGACGUGCUAAUCUGCGAUAAGCGUCGGUAAGGUGAUAUGAACCAUUAUAACCGGCGAUUUCCGAAUGGGGAAACCCAGUGUGAUUCGUCACACUAUCAUUAACUGAAUCCAUAGGUUAAUGAGGCGAACCGGGGGAACUGAAACAUCUAAGUACCCCGAGGAAAAGAAAUCAACCGAGAUUCCCCCAGUAGCGGCGAGCGAACGGGGAGCAGCCCAGAGCCUGAAUCAGUGUGUGUGUUAGUGGAAGCGUCUGGAAAGGCGUGCGAUACAGGGUGACAGCCCCGUACACAAAAAUGCACAUAUUGUGAGCUCGAUGAGUAGGGCGGGACACGUGGUAUCCUGUCUGAAUAUGGGGGGACCAUCCUCCAAGGCUAAAUACUCCUGACUGACCGAUAGUGAACCAGUACCGUGAGGGAAAGGCGAAAAGAACCCCGGCGAGGGGAGUGAAAAAGAACCUGAAACCGUGUACGUACAAGCAGUGGGAGCACGCUUAGGCGUGUGACUGCGUACCUUUUGUAUAAUGGGUCAGCGACUUAUAUUCUGUAGCAAGGUUAACCGAAUAGGGGAGCCGAAGGGAAACCGAGUCUUAACUGGGCGUUAAGUUGCAGGGUAUAGACCCGAAACCCGGUGAUCUAGCCAUGGGCAGGUUGAAGGUUGGGUAACACUAACUGGAGGACCGAACCGACUAAUGUUGAAAAAUUAGCGGAUGACUUGUGGCUGGGGGUGAAAGGCCAAUCAAACCGGGAGAUAGCUGGUUCUCCCCGAAAGCUAUUUAGGUAGCGCCUCGUGAAUUCAUCUCCGGGGGUAGAGCACUGUUUCGGCAAGGGGGUCAUCCCGACUUACCAACCCGAUGCAAACUGCGAAUACCGGAGAAUGUUAUCACGGGAGACACACGGCGGGUGCUAACGUCCGUCGUGAAGAGGGAAACAACCCAGACCGCCAGCUAAGGUCCCAAAGUCAUGGUUAAGUGGGAAACGAUGUGGGAAGGCCCAGACAGCCAGGAUGUUGGCUUAGAAGCAGCCAUCAUUUAAAGAAAGCGUAAUAGCUCACUGGUCGAGUCGGCCUGCGCGGAAGAUGUAACGGGGCUAAACCAUGCACCGAAGCUGCGGCAGCGACGCUGAUGCGUUGUUGGGUAGGGGAGCGUUCUGUAAGCCUGUGAAGGUGUGCUGUGAGGUAUGCUGGAGGUAUCAGAAGUGCGAAUGCUGACAUAAGUAACGAUAAAGCGGGUGAAAAGCCCGCUCGCCGGAAGACCAAGGGUUCCUGUCCAACGUUAAUCGGGGCAGGGUGAGUCGACCCCUAAGGCGAGGCCGAAAGGCGUAGUCGAUGGGAAACAGGUUAAUAUUCCUGUACUUGGUGUUACUGCGAAGGGGGGACGGAGAAGGCUAUGUUGGCCGGGCGACGGUUGUCCCGGUUUAAGCGUGUAGGCUGGUUUUCCAGGCAAAUCCGGAAAACUAAGGCUGAGGCGUGAUGACGAGGCACUACGGUGCUGAAGCAACAAAUGCCCUGCUUCCAGGAAAAGCCUCUAAGCAUCAGGUAACAUCAAAUCGUACCCCAAACCGACACAGGUGGUCAGGUAGAGAAUACCAAGGCGCUUGAGAGAACUCGGGUGAAGGAACUAGGCAAAAUGGUGCCGUAACUUCGGGAGAAGGCACGCUGAUAUGUAGGUGAAGUCCCUCGCGGAUGG